rnacentral:piRNA from 1 species
UCCCAGUUACAGUUGUUUUUGCUUGUUGGU